AACCUAUUAGCUCAAAUGGAAGAGCAUUGUGCAAAUGCGCAAAUAUGUGGGUUCGAAUCCCAUGUAGGUUA
rfam:Spinacia oleracea cultivar SynViroflay scaffold8578.con0002.1, whole genome shotgun sequence.